rnacentral:lncRNA from 1 species
ACUUCUGUUCCUCCCCGCCCUGGUGCUGCUCCGGGUCACAUACUCGUCCUGAGCCGGCUUCAGCCUCUCCGCGCAGAAGUCUCCCGGAGCCGACUUCUGAGAGUCGAGUACUCCUAUGUGAAGACUACCAAGCUCGUGUUCAAGGGAACCAAGGCGAAGAGUAAGAAGAAAAAGAACAAAGAUAAGAAAAGAAAAAGAGAAGAAGAUGAAGAAACCCAGCUUGAUAUGUUGGAAUCUGGUGGACAGUAACAAACUUUGGUGAAAUUUCAGGAACCAUAGCCAUUGAAAUGGAUGAGGGAACCUAUAUACAUGCACUCGAUAAUGGUCUUUUUACCCUGGGAGCUCCACACAAAGAAGUUGAUGAGGGCCCUAGUCCUCCAGAGCAGUUUUCGGCUGUCAAAUUAUCUGAUUCCAGAAUCACCCUGAAAUCUGGCUAUGGAAAAUAUCUUGGUAUAAAUUCAGAUGAACUUGUUGUUGGGCGUUCAGAUGCAAUUGGACCAAGAGAACAAUGGGAACCAGUCUUUAAAAUUGGGAAAAUGGCUUUGUCGACCUCAAAUAGCUGCUUUAUUAGAUACAGUGAAGCAGAGGACAUAGAAGCAAAAAGUAAAACAGCAGGAGAAGAAGAAAUGAUCAAGAUUAGAUCCUGUGCUGAAAGAGAAACCAAGAAAAAAGAUGACAUUCCAGAAGAAGACAAAGGAAAUAUAAAACAAUGUGAAAUCAAUUACGUGUGUGUAUGCUUUUCCUUUUAGACCUACAGAUUUGACAGUGAAGUGCUUCUCAAAGUGCUUUCAAAAUAAAUUACCUAAUUAGCUGGG